rnacentral:rRNA from 1 species
UACGUAUGGGGCAAGCGUUAUCCGGAUUUACUGGGUGUAAAGGGAGCGUAGGCGGCAGGGCAAGCCUGAUGUGAAAGCCCGGGGCUCAACCCCGGGACUGCAUUGGGAACUGCCCUGCUGGAGUGCCGGAGGGGCAGGCGGAAUUCCUAGUGUAGCGGUGAAAUGCGUAGAUAUUAGGAGGAACACCAGUGGCGAAGGCGGCUUGCUGGACGAUGACUGACGUUGAGGCUCGAAAGCGUGGGGAGCAAACAGG